GUUUUGUAAAAUUAAAAGUCAAGGUCAAGGUCAAGUUUAUUUAUAUAGCACCUUAAAAGCAACGUGUGCUGACCAAAGUGAGGCACA